AUCUGAUAUUAAAAUAUAUUUUAGUUCACAUUAAUUGCUUGUUAGUGCAUUGGGCAGUGCACUUCAACUAUAUUUUAAAGGUACUAGAAGCAAUUACGAAGGUUGUCAUAAAGUUGUAUUAAAGUACCACUUAAGUUGUUCAAAAAAAUCACUCUUAAGUUCAAUUUAUUGCAUUUAAUAUGAACUUAAUAUGUGAUAUAUUUGAAAUUAAGUACAGAUAUAAUGCACUUAAGCGAUGAAAACAUUACAUUUAAUUCACACUUAAGUGUGUUCUUUUAAAGUAUAUUAUUUUUGCAAUAAGUACACUUUAUAAAAGUAUACUAAAGUGCACUUUUUUUUCACAAGGGAUAAUGAAUCAGGAGGAGUGUCAUGAUACAUAAAUUAGAGUAAGCGUAGAGUAAAGGGAUUUUUGAUUUUCUUGAUUUAUACUAUUUAUACUAGAUUUGUACUUGAUUUAUAGAAGUGGCAAAUUGAUAAUUCAUGUUGUUAUUUUUAAUAAAUAGAAAUAAAUAUAGAACAGAUUAAUCAAUUGCCAAUAGACAAUUACAUUAAUACAUGGUUUGUCUAUAUUCUUAAUGAAUAUUAGCUGGUUAGUUAAAAUACUUAAAAUUACAUCAAUUUUCAUGGGGUGACUUUAUGAAUAUCCAACCGUAUUGUUGAUUAUAAAGGCUAAAAAGCUAAAAAACUAAAAUAAUUUAUAUUUCAUUGUAGAUGGAUAUACGACAUUUUUUCUUGUCGUGCGGGAGUAGGUCUGCAAAUGAGCAACAGUCAGUGUUGUAUAUGGCUCAGUCAGUACUCCUACUCCCAUAUAUGAAAUACAGGGAAUACAAUGGAAUAGUGGAUUGCAGUAAGGUUAGUAGCAUACCACCCUACCCUAAUAGUCAAAUAAUAUUUUUUUAAUCAUACCCUUAUUGGGGGCUGAGCCCCCCUAAAAUCAAAAUCCUAGAAUCGCCCCUGAAGGAGGGGGAUUGUUCUUCCGCAUGCGCUCAUUUAAAAAACUCAGUCGACGAAAACAUCCCCUGUACCACCUUUAA